AGAGCGAACGCUGGCGGCAGGCCUAACACAUGCAAGUCGAGCGCCCGUAGCAAUACGGGAGCGGCAGACGGGAUAGUAACACGUGGGAACGCGCCCUUCGGUUCGGAAUAACUCAGGGAAACUUGAGCUAAUACCGGAUACGCCCUUACGGGGAAAGAUUUAUUGCCGAAGGAACGGCCCGCGUCCGAUUAGCUAGUUGGUGAGGUAAUGGCUCACCAAGGCGACGAUCGGUAGCUGGUCUGAGAGGAUGACCAGCAUCACUGGGACUGAGACACGGCCCAGACUCCUACGGGAGGCAGCAGUGGGGAAUAUUGGACAAUGGGCGCAAGCCUGAUCCAGCCAUGCCGCGUGGAUGAUGAGGCCUUAGGGUUGUAAAGUCCUUUUAACGGGGAAGAUAAGUGACGGUACCGUAGAAUAAGCCCCGGCUAACUUCGUGCCAGCAGCCGC
rnacentral:rRNA from 1 species